GUGGGGAAUUUUCCGCAAUGGACGAAAGUCUGACGGAGCAACGCCGCGUGAGUGAUGAAGGUCUUCGGAUUGUAAAGCUCUGUUAAUCGGGACGAAAGAGCCUAGUGUGAAUAAUGCUAGGAAGUGACGGUACCGGAAUAGAAAGCCACGGCUAACUACGUGCCAGCAGCCGCGGUAAUACGUAGGUGGCAAGCGUUGUCCGGAAUUAUUGGGCGUAAAGCGCGCGCAGGCGGAUCUGCCAGUCUGUCUUAAAAGUUCGGGGCUUAACCCCGUGAUGGGAUGGAAACUACAGAUCUAGAGUAUCGGAGAGGAAAGUGGAAUUCCUAGUGUAGCGGUGAAAUGCGUAGAUAUUAGGAAGAACACCAGUGGCGAAGGCGACUUUCUGGACGAAAACUGACGCUGAGGCGCGAAAGCCAGGGGAGCGAACGGGAUUAGAAACCCCGGUAGUCC
rnacentral:rRNA from 1 species